UGGCGAACGGGUGAGUAACACGUGGGUGAUCUGCCCUGCACUCUGGGAUAAGCCUGGGAAACUGGGUCUAAUACCGGAUAGGACCAUGCUUUAGUGUGUGUGGUGGAAAGUUUUUUCGGUGUAGGAUGAGCCCGCGGCCUAUCAGCUUGUUGGUGGGGUAAUGGCCUACUAAGGCGGCGACGGGUAGCCGGACUGAGAGGUUGGUCGGCCACAUUGGGACUGAGAUACGGCCCAG
rnacentral:rRNA from 1 species